rnacentral:rRNA from 1 species
CCUACGGGAGGCAGCAGUGAGGAAUAUUGGUCAAUGGACGAAAGUCUGAACCAGCCAAGUAGCGUGAAGGAUGACUGCCCUAUGGGUUGUAAACUUCUUUUAUAUGGGAAUAAAAUGAUCCACGUGUGGGAUUUUGUAUGUACCAUAUGAAUAAGGAUCGGCUAACUCCGUGCCAGCAGCCGCGGUAAUACGGAGGAUCCGAGCGUUAUCCGGAUUUAUUGGGUUUAAAGGGAGCGUAGGGGGAUUGUUAAGUCAGUUGUGAAAGUUUGCGGCUCAACCGUAAAAUUGCAGUUGAAACUGGCAGUCUUGAGUACAGGAGAGGUGUGCGGAAUUCGUGGUGUAGCGGUGAAAUGCUUAGAUAUCACGAAGAACUCCGAUUGCGAAGGCAGUUCACUGGACUGCAACUGACACUGAGGCUCGAAAGUGUGGGUAUCAAACAGGAUUAGAUACCCGGGUAGUC